rnacentral:lncRNA from 1 species
CUUAAAGACAUCUAGAGUUUAAAAAAAUUAAAGAUUUUUGCUGACUUUUGACAAUGGAUUUGCAACUUUUGUGAUAAUAAUUUCUGUUUAUAAUAAUUAUAAAUGAGAACCCUUUUUCAAAUCCAGGAAGUUUUGGAAUGCAUUCAGCAUACAGUAAAGCAGGAUGUAUUUAUCUGUCAUUGGAGUGCAGUCACCUUUGAGAUGUGGGCUGAAGAAGAGAAGCAGGAAACCAAGAAGUUUGUUGCAUCUUCAGGAUGAGUGGAUUCUAUGUCUCUCUGCAUCCCUUUCUGUAGGCUUCACAAGAAGGGUUUUGCUGUGCUAGGACAUCUUCCUACAUCUUCUAAGGGUAUACCUGUGAAGGAUGCCAGGAUGGCCCUUGAUUCCAC